rnacentral:misc_RNA from 1 species
GAUGAAGAACGUAGUGAAAUGCGAUACGUAAUGUGAAUUGCAGAAUUCAGUGAAUCAUCGAGUCUUUGAACGCACAUUGCGCCCCCUGGUAUUCCGGCGGGCAUGCCUGUUCGAGCGUCAUUACAACCCUCAGGCCCCCGGGCCUGGCGUUGGGGAUCGGCGGAGCCCCCCGUGGGCACACGCCGUCCCCCAAAUGCAGUGGCGGUCCCGCCGCAGCUUCCAUCGCGUAGUAGCUAACACCUCGCGACUGGAGAGCGGCGCGGCCACGCCGUAAAACACCCAACUCUUCUGAAGUUGACCUCGAAUCAGGUAGGAAUACCCGCUGAACUUAAGCAUAUCAAUAAGCGGAGGA